UUAUGAUGCUAUAAUAUUCAGUG
rnacentral:siRNA from 1 species